GUCACACCUGACCGGCCCCGCCCCACCCCGCCCGUAAAUCCCGGCGGAUCCGCGCCCGCUCCGCGUUCUGCCCUGGAUGCUCAUCCCGGGGUGCGGCGGCACCGCCGCUCGGAGCGCUGCGCGGAGCCCCGGGCCGGGGGCUGCUCCCGGCGCUGCGCCGAGCCCAAGGCGCUGAGAGCACAGCAGAUGGGUGGUUGUAAAGAGCCAAGAGGAUCAUCACGUGAGAUGAUGAGCAGUGACUGCUCCAGCUGGGCACAGAACACAGAAUCUUGGCCUUCUCAGCACCCUGCUCCAGGCACCUGAGCCACUCUCAGGGUCAUGAAGAAGGUCCUGCCUGUGAUGGGAAUGGCUGCUGCCAGCAAGGGAACUCCUCUACAAGUGCUGCUCCUUCUGUUCUGCUGAUGCUGCUUUACACAGCAACCCCUGCAGUGGCUGGAGAGCAGAACUGGCUGGCAACUCCCACGACAGCACCAAACUCUUACCAUGACCCUGAUUUUCCUGCCCUUUCCAGGAUUUCCCCAGCAGCUGUAAAUUGACUCUCACAGUGUCCCUUGGCAGGGAGAAAUGAGCCAGACAGGCCCUGAGGGUUCCCUUGUUCCAUGGCCAAAGUUCCUCUGGAGGGUGGCAGGGAGCAUUUCCUGCAGGAGCUUGUUUCUAGAAGGGAGUGGAGUAAGAGAACGGUUCUAAGAGCAGAUUGAAAGCAGCAGAGCAAUGGCAGCACCUGCAGUUUCUAUCGAUCAGUCACAAAGCAGGGGACCUUGGAUCCUGCCAGAGGGUCACAGAGACCUGAGGAAGACUCUCCUGACUUCAUCCUUGCAGAUCACUGACCCAGUUCCACACCACAAACCCAAUUCAAGAGAAGAAUUGUGCAUGCGUGAAGGACUAAUAGCCUCAUUUUAAUACGGAACAGGGAUGGGAGGUGCUGGGGUUAUGCAUAUGCAUUGUAUGUAAGAUCUGGGGAAAUCAAUGGAGGGCAAAGCACCUUGUCUGGGUUGGUCACGUCUUUUGGAGACGACUCCGUGCCGCCCUCUGGUGCAUAAAUGUACGACUGUCUAACUUGAACUAGUUAGAGAGUCUCUGUCGUGACCUUCGGUUUUAACGACGCAACAGACUGGAGCAGCACUGGUACAGGAAUUGAUAUUUGACUCUUCCUCCUUUCCU